CAGAUGACGAGUGGCGCACGGGUGCGGAACGCGUAUCGAACCUGCCCCUGUCAGGGGAAUAGCCCAUGGAAACGUGGAUUAAUGCCCCAUGGUACCAUUAUAUCGCAUGAUAUUAUGGUUAAAGAUUUAUCGGACAGGGAUGGCGAUGCGUGCCAUUAGUUAGUUGGUAAGGUAACGGCUUACCAAGACAGCGAUGGCUAGGGGCCCUGAGAGGGGGAUCCCCCACACUGGUACUGAGACACGGACCAGACUCCUACGGGAGGCAGCAGUGAGGAAUAUUGGACAAUGGUGGGAACACUGAUCCAGCCAUGCCGCGUGCAGGAUGACUGCCCUAUGGGUUGUAAACUGCUUUUAUACGGGAAGAAACCCAGGUACGUGUACCUGGCUGACGGUACCGUAAGAAUAAGGACCGGCUAACUCCGUGCCAGCAGCCGCGGUAAUACGGAGGGUCCGAGCGUUAUCCGGAAUCAUUGGGUUUAAAGGGUCCGUAGGCGGGCCAAUAGGUCAGAGGUGAAAGGCCACGGCUCAACCGUGGGACUGCCUUUGAUACUGUUGGUCUUGAGUCAUAGUGGGGUUGCCGGAACAUGUGGUGUAGCGGUGAAAUGCAUAGAUAUCACAUAGAACACCGAUCGCGAAGGCAGGUGGCCAACUAUGUACUGACGCUGAUGGACGAAAGCGUGGGGAGCGAACGGGAUUAGAUACCCCGGUAGUCCACGCCGUAAACGAUGGAUACUAGCUGUGGGGUCUUCGGACUCCGUGGCCAAGCGAAAGUGAUAAGUAUCCCACCUGGGGAGUACGUUCGCAAGAAUGAAACUCAAAGGAAUUGACGGGGGCCCGCACAAGCGGUGGAGCAUGUGGUUUAAUUCGAUGAUACGCGAGGAACCUUACCAGGCUUAAAUGCAUUAUGACAGAUCCAGAGACGGAUUUUUCUUCGGAC
rnacentral:rRNA from 1 species